GGGAUUCGAACCCGGGUGUGGGGGUUCCACACCGGGUCUGCAGAUCCCUUUGAUCAGUUUAAUCUGAUGGUUUAGAGGGUCAAAGAACUUCAAUUGCAUUUGAUUAGUGAUGCUUUCUACAAUAUUUCACCUAGCUCAUAAAUGCAGAACUCGACUUGCCCUGUACAUUCAUUUCAUUUAGAUUGAUUAGUGUUGCUUUAGAUUAAUUGCAGGACUCUCUCUUUACUGAAAUGAUGCUCUGUUUAGUAUCCCUAGUUUUGAUAGUAAACGUUCCAAUCAGAACCAGUGGCUCUUCCAAGUGUGAUUAUCAUUUUUUGGUUAUUUUUGCAAUCUCAUCAUUGUUGGUUAUUUUUGCAAUUUGAAUUCCAUUCAUGCUUCUUCUUUAUUUUCACUUACUACCUCAUGGGAUGGUUUAUUUUUCUACUGUUAAGUGCAGAUUGGUAACAAAGUUGAUGAAGUACUUGAUGAGACUCUUAGGCUUGAGGUUCAUGCCAGUGGGGAAAGGCAUACACCUGAUGAAAGUUCUGCUGUUAUGGAUACUUCUGAGGGUCUCGUUAACGUAAGAAUGACUGACUAAAGAGAAGUACCAGGCAAUGCUGAAGAAACUUAGCAGCAGGUUUGUAUGCACGUCAGAUUGUCUGUUCUUCAAGCAGCCAAGUUGGAAACUUGAAGAACCUGCGCUAUGGCGCUUGGGCGAAACAAGUAAUUGUGUUGCUGAGUUUGGAGCAUUAUGCAACAAAUUCUAAAUUCAUUAAUGGGGCAUUGGCUUCGUCAUUAAUGGACAGGUUGGUUGUUUUCUAUGCUCCAUAUGCUUGAGGUACUGGCUAGUGAGGGAAAGGUUUGUGUGGCUUAUUGCACGGUGUCCUGUCCGACAGAAUAUAUGUCUUUCUGGACUGUGUAUACAUGAAUUUAUGUGAAGAGCCAAAGAUUUCCCUUAGUUUCCAAGGUGGAGAAUCUGAUUUAACAUGAAUAUUCAAAUCCUACUACAAUGGACAGCACCGUGGAAGUUCUAGUUUCUUAUGCCCUGUUGGAGUUGUAUAAUGGCAUUCAUGCGUUGUCUAUUUGCACAUAAAUUGCUGAAUUUCAUCUAGUAGAAGCUCAACUGUAGGCUUUGAAGGAUCUAAUUUCAAUUCUACCUAAAUCUGUCAUCAACUGCCCCGGAUGGACCUGGUUCCAAGUCUCCUAAGUCCAAGAGGUUAACAUGUCCAUGGUUGUGUACUGGGUCCUAGAUUUCGGGGCAGCAAAACAUAAUCUGGUGGUCAACAACAUAACAUUCUAGUUCAUGGACCAAAAUUCCUAGUCUGAUGAACCCUGCCAGAUCCAUCUCUCUUCAUCUGUAGAGUCCACUACUGCAAAUGGCAAUUCCUGCCAUAUCUCUUGGAGUGUUGCUAAAUCAAGUGAAUUUGAUGGCUCAAAGUUUUGUUCUAUGGGGUUGAGGUUGUAGCAAGCUUUCUCAAGCAAGCUCGGAUUUUUUUCUUGAACGUUCUGCUGGUGUGGAUGCUAGAUCCAAGAAGCUUCUGGACGCACUGGUUGAGAUUGUUAUAGAGGGCUUCCAGUCCGUGCACGAUUUGACUAUUGGUGUGUUGGGUUUGGAGCUAGGAUGAUCACCAUCGAUAACAAACCAAUCAAGCUCCACGGCUGGUCAAGAGUCAUUCAGAUCCAUUACACGAUCCUACUAUAGAAGAGGAGCCGCUGGCGCUUUGCUUGUCUAUGUCAUCACCAGGAGAGAAACUUUUAAUCAAUUGGCUAGCUGGCUAGAGGAUGAGAGGCAGCAUGCAAAUGCAAACGUGACCAUAAUGUUAAUUGGUAAUAAGUGUGAUCUUGCUCAUAGACUAGCUGUGAGCACACAGGAAGGGGAGCAAUUUGCAACGGAACAUGGAUUGAUCUUCAUGGAGGCCUCUGCUAAAACUGCUCAGAAUGUUGAGGAGGCAUUCAUAAAAACUGCUGCAACCAUAUACAAGAAGAUUCAAGAUGGCGUUUUUGAUGUAUUAAAUGAGGUACUACUACUUGUGCGUUUUCUCCAGCAUGAGUAUAAUCUUGGCCGACCUUUCAACCAAGCUUGAAGAGGAUUGAGCUCUGUGCAAUUGGAACCAAAAUGGACGAUACCAGCUCUGUUGGCAUCAAAUGUGGUCUCGAUUACUGUUAUUUUCGAGUUACCUAUAUGCUACUAGCUUAUGAUGUUCGAGCACUAGCUUUUUGUUGAUAGUUUGUUACUUUUCUAGCUGUUACUAAUGUUCUUGUCUCUGACAUGUCUAGCUGCCAUAUUUUAUUUUUUUAUUUUUUAUCGGAACCUUACUGCCAUGUUGAAUGGAAAAUUUUUGGAGAUGUCAGAAAUUUUGAAGUUUUUCCUA